rnacentral:rRNA from 1 species
UCGAACGAAGCACUUUAUUUGAUUUCCUUCGGGACUGAUUAUUUUGUCACUGAGUGGCGGACGGGUGAGUAACGCGUGGGUAACCUGCCUUGUACAGGGGGAUAACAGUUGGAAACGGCUGCUAAUACCGCAUAAGCGCACAGCAUCGCAUGAUGCAGUGUGAAAAACUCCGGUGGUAUAAGAUGGACCCGCGUUGGAUUAGCUAGUUGGUGAGGUAACGGCCCACCAAGGCGACGAUCCAUAGCCGACCUGAGAGGGUGACCGGCCACAUUGGGACUGAGACACGGCCCAAACUCCUACGGGAGGCAGCAGUGGGGAAUAUUGCACAAUGGGCGAAAGCCUGAUGCAGCGACGCCGCGUGAGCGAAGAAGUAUUUCGGUAUGUAAAGCUCUAUCAGCAGGGAAGAUAAUGACGGUACCUGACUAAGAAGCACCGGCUAAAUACGUGCCAGCAGCCGCGGUAAUACGUAUGGUGCAAGCGUUAUCCGGAUUUACUGGGUGUAAAGGGAGCGCAGGCGGUGCGGCAAGUCUGAUGUGAAAGCCCGGGGCUCAACCCCGGUACUGCAUUGGAAACUGUCGUACUAGAGUGUCGGAGGGGUAAGCGGAAUUCCUAGUGUAGCGGUGAAAUGCGUAGAUAUUAGGAGGAACACCAGUGGCGAAGGCGGCUUACUGGACGAUAACUGACGCUGAGGCUCGAAAGCGUGGGGAGCAAACAGGAUUAGAUACCCUGGUAGUCCACGCCGUAAACGAUG